rnacentral:lncRNA from 1 species
UGUACAGUGCCAACUCAACACAGUAAACGGGGAUACUUUUUUCGAAAGUUGACAGCACAGGUAAAGUUUCAAAAAAUUCAAAUUAUAUAUCUGUAUAUAUAUAUUUAUAUUUAUAUAAAAAGACCAAUAAUAGCAGUGUGUUAUGCAUCAACAGCAGCAACAGCUUUUCCAGGUUCUGCAGUCAUCUGAACAAAACUGUAGAGACAUCCAGCACACUCCAUUAAAA